rnacentral:rRNA from 1 species
GGAUCCAGACUUUGAUUAUGGCUCAGGACGAACGCUUGCGACGUGCCUAAGAAAUGCAAGUCGAGCGGAAGCAGCAAUGCUUUAGCGGCGAACGGUCGCGUAACACGUAGGCAACCUGCCCGAAAGACUGGGACAACACCCCGAAAGGGGUGCUAAUACCAGAUGUGACCACCCUCUCUCCUGGGGGGGUGAUUAAAGCGAGAAAUCGGCUUUCGGAGGGGCCUGCGGCCUAUCAGCUAGUUGGUGAGGUAACGGCUCACCAAGGCGACGACGGGUAGCUGGUCUGAGAGGACGAUCAGCCGGAUUGGGACUGAGAUACGGCCCAGACUCCUACGGGGGGCAGCAAUUAGGAAUCUUGCGCAAUGGGCGAAAGCCUGACGCAGCGACGGUCGCGUGGGGGAGGAAGGCCUUCGGGUUGUAAACCCCUUUUACUGAGGAAGAAACAAAUGACGGUACUCAGUGAAUAAGCCCCGGCUAACUCCGUGCCAGCAGCCGCGGUAAUACGGAGGGGGCGAGCGUUGUCCGAAUUUACUGGGCGUAAAGAGCGCGUAGGCGGGAUGGUAAGUCUGUUGUGAAAGCCCGUUGCUUAACGACGGAGGGUCGAUGGAUACUGCCAUUCUUGAAGGUGCUAGGGGGAGAUGGAAUUACAGGUGUAGCGGUGAAAUGCGUAGAUAUCUGUAGGAACACCAGUGGCGAAGGCGAUCUCCUGGGGCAUUCUUGACGCUGAGGCGCGAAAGCUGGGGGAGCAAACGGGAUUAGAUACCCCGGUAGUCCCAGCCCUAAACGAUGGAUACUAGGUGUGGGGGGUAUCGACCCCUCCCGCGCCGUCGCUAACGCAGUAAGUAUCCCGCCUGGGGAGUACGGCCGCAAGGUUGAAACUCAAAGGAAUUGACGGGGGCCCGCACAAGCGGUGGAGCAUGUUGUUUAAUACGUCAUUAACCGUAGAACCUUACCAGGGCUUGACAUCCUCUGCACCGGUGUGAAAGCAUCGUUCUCGCAAGAGACGGAGAGACAGGUGUUGCAUGGCUGUCGUCAGCUCGUGUCGUGAGAUGUUGGGUUAAGUCCCGCAACGAGCGCAACCC